GUGCCAGCCGCCGCGGUAAUACAGAGGUCCCAAGCGUUGUUCGGAUUCACUGGGCGUAAAGGGUGCGUAGGUGGUGGAGUAAGUUUGAUGUGAAAGCCCCGGGCCCAACCCGGGAAUGGCAUUGAAUACUAUUCCGCUAGAGGGUCGGAAGGGGGACUGGAAUUCUCGGUGUAGCAGUGAAAUGCGUAGAUAUCGAGAGGAACACCAGUGGCGAAGGCGAGUCCCUGGACGACUCCUGACACUGAGGCACGAAAGCUAGGGGAGCAAACAGGAUUAGAAACCCCCGUAGUCC
rnacentral:rRNA from 1 species